rnacentral:rRNA from 1 species
AUGGCGCGAGGUGGCGCGUGGGCGGCGGCGGCGGUGGUGCUGUGGUGGAUGGCGGCGGUCGCCGGGGCGGUGUGGCUGGAGAUCGCGCCGUCGGGGACCAAGUGCGUGGCGGAGGAGAUCCGGUCCAACGUCGUCGUCAUCGGCGACUACUCUGUCCUCUACGAGCACCAGCAGGUCCAUCCCACCGUCUCCGUCAAGAUUACAUCCCCUUUUGGGGACACCAUACACAAGAAAGAUAAGGUUACGGUGGACCAGUUUGCAUUUACCACAUCAGAAGCAGGAAAUUACUUAGCUUGCUUUACAGUUGACGGUGAUAACAAGGGUUUGGUGGUGAAACUAAAUCUUGACUGGAAAAUUGGUAUCGCGGCAAAAGAUUGGGAUGCUAUUGCUAAAAAGGAAAAGAUUGAGGGAGUUGCACUAGAGUUGUUUAAGCUUGAUGAAUCUGUCCAAACAAUCUAUGAAAAUCUGCUCGUGCUGAGGACCAAAGAAUCCGACAUGAGAGAUGUCAGUGAGCUGACGAAUGCUAGGGUCUUAUGGUUGAGCAUGAUGUCGCUCGGUGUUUGCAUUUGUGUUUCAAUUAUGCAGCUGGUGCAUCUAAAACGGUACUUCCGAAAGAAGAAGCUCAUCUGA